rnacentral:rRNA from 1 species
UGGGGAAUCUUGCGCAAUGGGGGAAACCCUGACGCAGCGACGCCGCGUGCGGGAUGAAGGCCUUCGGGUUGUAAACCGCUUUCAGCAGGGACGAGGCCUUAUGGUGACGGUACCUGCAGAAGAAGCUCCGGCUAAAUACGUGCCAGCAGCCGCGGUAAUACGUAUGGAGCAAGCGUUAUCCGGAUUCAUUGGGCGUAAAGCGCUCGUAGGCGGUCUGUUAGGUCGGCAAGUUAAAUCCGGGGGCUCAACCCCCGUCCGCUUCCGAUACCGGCAGACUUGAGUUUGGUAGGGGAAGGUGGAAUUCCUAGUGUAGCGGUGGAAUGCGCAGAUAUUAGGAAGAACACCGGUGGCGAAGGCGGCCUUCUGGGCCAUAACUGAUGCUGAGGAGCGAAAGCUAGGGGAGCGAACAGG